rnacentral:misc_RNA from 1 species
UAAUCCUAAUAUUGGGCCUGCAAAGCAGGUAACGAACGCCACCGAACACAACGCCAACAACGCUGCGCCAAGUGGGAGGAAAUUCACAGAAGAUUCUAAUUAUGAGCAAAGAAGCAUUUUACGGCCUGCUAAGUGGCCUAGCCCAGCGAUUGUACUACGGCAACUCUGAGGUAACGGACGACUUGUUAAAAAACGAACUGUAUCCUUCAGUUUCGGAUGAACCGUUUUCCAAGUUGGUUUCCAAAGCAACGACGGUGCUGAAGACACUUGCUGCUUCAAACAUGGACUGGACACAGCUGGAGGCGUUUCUGACAUCGCAGACAAAGCGACAGGAAGGUGGCCUCGCUCAGGAGCAAGCGGAGUGCACUUCUCGAUUCUGGAGAAACCACCGUGCGCGCGUGCGGGCCAGUGUUGUGGCCCAGAGUCGGUGGAAUCCGGGGCUAGAAUCUUGCUCGUGGAGGGUGGACCUCGAAGGCCCCACGGCACAAGUAUCUUUGGGAGAACUGCAUUUCCAGAUGGGCAAGCCUGAACUCGAGUCCUUGCUCGGGAGCAUCGCGGCUGUUCAAGUUGCCUUGGACAAACAUUGUCCUAGAACGAAGUGACCGAUACACCGAAGGAGGUUGAAGACGAUGUGUUUGACCGCAAUAUCACUAUUUUGGACUCGGUCAGACUACCAAUAUACGCCGUGUACAAAAGAUUAAUUCAUGUUAGUUUUGUAGUGUCUAGUCGCAGCUUUCAAUGCGUCCGUUAAACCACGAGUAUUAUUUCUUUUUUAAAGGCUAAAUGGCAAAUGCUCGGACCUCAUUUUCUUAUCUGAGGUGACACAGACACACAGCACAAAGUGGUGCGAAACAAUAAUGGGUCAUUCCAUGCCAACUGUCCCAGUCUGGGCGCUCGACAAAAAUCAAUUUCUCUGGAAAAAUCUGAAAAAAUUACACACGUAUAGACAUUCGUCCUGCAGUAUUUUCCCGAAAUAUCUUGAGCGGCAAAAAUUUUUCGGGCACGUGAGCGCCAUUUGAACU